AGAAUCAACGCUGGCGGCGUGCCUAACACAUGCAAGUCGCACGAGAAAGGGACUUCGGUCCUGAGUACAGUGGCGCACGGGUGAGUAACACGUGAAUAAUCUACCUCCGAGUGGGGAAUAACUGAGAGAAAUCUUAGCUAAUACCGCAUAACACUUACGAGUCAAAGCAGCAAUGCGCUUGGAGAGGAGUUCGCGGCAGAUUAGUUAGUUGGCGGGGUAAUGGCCCACCAAGACGAUGAUCUGUAUCCGGCCUGAGAGGGCGCACGGACACACUGGAACUGAAACACGGUCCAGACUCCUACGGGAGGCAGCAGUGGGGAAUUUUGCGCAAUGGGGGAAACCCUGACGCAGCAACGCCGCGUGGAGGAUGAAAUCCCUUGGGAUGUAAACUCCUUUCGAUAGGGAAGAUAAUGACGGUACCUAUAGAAGAAGCCCCGGAUAACUUCGCGCCAGCAGCCGC
rnacentral:rRNA from 1 species